rnacentral:rRNA from 1 species
UACGGUGGGGGGCAAGUGUUACUCGUAGGGAACUUGGCGUAAAGGGUUCGUAUGGUUGCCAAACCAUACAAUUAAAAACUAUAGUAAGUUUUCAUAUUACUUUAUGAGGUUUUUUCUAAUAGUAUUUGGCUUUGAGUACAGAAAAAGACUUUGGUACUCUUCAAUGGAGGGGUAAAAUUCGGAGAUAUUGAUAGGGACCAUCAAUGGGUGAAGAUCAAAAGUCUCAAACGUGAUAACUGACACUGGAGGAACGAAAGCAUGGGGAGACGAAUGGGG